rnacentral:lncRNA from 10 species
GUGUCGAACAUGUCCAAGACCUCCAAACAGCCAUCUUGAGGAUGGCAGAACAGAGACCUGGAAGGAAGUGGCCUCCCAACACAGGACAGCCUACCUCUUAACUUCUCUUACAUGCAACAAAAAUAACCUGCUGUAUUGUUGAAGCCACUGCUUUUUCUUGUCAACUGAAGAACAACGAAGUUACAAAUUUGGAAAGGAGAGCUUUAUUUCUCAUAAAGCGUUGCAGCCUGCAGGCAGCCAUUCUGAUAAGCUGGCAAGCGUCACCUCCAGUCAGAAGCCAGAAAUAGGCUCUUGAGAGUGGGAAGAAUAAGACAGAGAUAUACGCUGAGCAGGGUGGCCAAAUAUAUAUAUUUGACAGUUAUAGGAGGAGCUAUGAAUAUUCACAAAGGGGAGGCAUGGGCAUGUGUAGAGGACUAACAUGAAUACAACAUGUGUCCCAUGUUCACUUUGGGGUGGAAACCUAAUGUUUAAAUGUAUUACAAUUAGGCCCUAUACAUCCAAGGGUGAAACAGAGCACACAAAGGCCCUCUGCACAGCAUCCAUAGAUGGCCAGAACCACUUUGUGGUUGGCGGUCUCUUAUCAGGAAAGAAUGCUGAUCAUUUGUUGUGUCAAAACCACAAAAGGGAGGUUGGUUGAAUUUAGCAGUGGAACAAGUCCUUCCAAAGGGCUGGUUUUUGUUUAAUGCUUAAGAAAGAAAGCCUAAUAGUGGUUAAUGAGGGAGGGGGUAUAACAAGGCAUGUCCAACCUUCUGUACCAUCAUGGCCAGUUUUUAAGGUUUUUCUGGGGUCCCCUUGGCCAAGUGGGGAAGGAUCCAGUCAGUUGGUAUGGCAUUUAGGAU